GACGAACGCUGGCGGCGUGCCUAAUACAUGCAAGUCGAACGCACUCUCGUUUAGAUUGAAGGAGCUUGCUCCUGAUUGAUAAACAUUUGAGCGAGUGGCGGACGGGUGAGUAACACGUGGGUAACCUGCCCUAAAGUGGGGGAUAACAUUUGGAAACAGAUGCUAAUACCGCAUAAAACCUAACACCGCAUGGUGUAGGGUUGAAAGAUGGUUUCGGCUAUCACUUUAGGAUGGACCCGCGGUGCAUUAGUUAGUUGGUGAGGUAAAGGCUCACCAAGACCGUGAUGCAUAGCCGACCUGAGAGGGUAAUCGGCCACACUGGGACUGAGACACGGCCCAGACUCCUACGGGAGGCAGCAGUAGGGAAUCUUCCACAAUGGACGAAAGUCUGAUGGAGCAACGCCGCGUGAGUGAAGAAGGUUUUCGGAUCGUAAAACUCUGUUGUUGGAGAAGAAUGUAUCUGAUAGUAACUGAUCAGGUAGUGACGGUAUCCAACCAG
rnacentral:rRNA from 1 species